rnacentral:rRNA from 1 species
UACGUAGGGGGCCAGCGUUGUCCGGAUUCAUUGGGCGUAAAGCGCGUGUAGGCGGCCGUACAGGUCUGGUGUGAAAACUCGAGGCUCAACCUCGAGAGGUCAUCGGAAACCGUACGGCUAGAGUCCGGAAGAGGAGAGUGGAAUUCCUGGUGUAGCGGUGAAAUGCGCAGAUAUCAGGAAGAACACCCAUGGCGAAGGCAGCUCUCUGGGACGGUACUGACGCUGAGACGCGAAAGCGUGGGGAGCGAACAGG